GCCAGGCACGGUGGAGCAUGCCUGUAGUCCCAGCUACUUGGGAGGCUGACGUGGGAGGAUCACCUGAUCCCAGGAGGUCGAGGCUGCAGUGAACCAUGAUUGUGCCACUGCAGUCUAGCCUGGGCAAUGGAGUGAGAACCUGUGUCAA
rfam:Pan troglodytes isolate Yerkes chimp pedigree #C0471 (Clint) chromosome 21, whole genome shotgun sequence.